GACGAACGCUGGCGGCGUGCUUAACACAUGCAAGUCGAGCGAUGAAGCACCUUCGGGUGUGGAUUAGCGGCGAACGGGUGAGGAACACGUGAGGAAUCUGCCUUCCACUCUGGGAUAACUCCGGGAAACCGGGGCUAAUACCGGAUAUUUUCAACUGGCGGCAUCGCCGGUUGAAGAAAGUUUUUCGGUGGAAGAUGACCUCGCGGCCUAUCAGCUUGUUGGUGAGGUAAAGGCUCACCAAGGCGACGACGGCUAGCCGGCCUGAGAGGCCGACCGGCCACACUGGGACUGAGACACGGCCCAGACUCCUACGGGAGGCAGCAGUGAGGAAUAUUGGGCAAUGGAGGAAACUCUGACCCAGCGACGCCGCGUGAGGGAUGAAGGCCUUCGGGUUGUAAACCUCUUUCAGCAGGGAAUAAGCGAAAGUGAAGGUACCUGCAGAAGAAGCACCGGCUAACUAUGUGCCAGCCGCCGCCGUAA
rnacentral:rRNA from 1 species